GAUGAACGCUAGCUACAGGAUUAACACAUGCAAGUCGAGGGGAAACGACAUCGAAAGCUUGCUUUUGAUGGGCGUCGACCGGCGCACGGGUGAGUAACGCGUAUCCAACCUGCCCACCACUUGGGGAUAACCUUGCGAAAGUAAGACUAAUACCCAAUGACGUCUCUAGAAGACAUCUGAAGGAGAUUAAAGAUUUAUCGGUGAUGGAUGGGGAGGCGUCUGAUUAGCUUGUUGGCGGGGUAACGGCCCACCAAGGCGAGGAUCAGUAGGGGUUCUGACAGGAAGGUCCCCACCAUUGGAACUGAGAAACGGUCCAAACUCCUACGGGAGGCAGCAGUGAGGAAUAUUGGUCAAUGGGCGAGAGCCUGGACCAGCCAAGUAGCGUGCAGGAUGACGGCCCUAUGGGUUGUAAACUGCUUUUAUAAGGGAAUAAAGUGAGUCUCGUGAGACUUUUUGCAUGUACCUUAUGAAUAAGGACCGGCUAAUUCCGUGCAGCCGCCGCCGUAA
rnacentral:rRNA from 1 species